GAUGAACGCUAGCGAUAGGCCUAACACAUGCAAGUCGAGGGGCAUCACAUGAAGUAGCAAUACGGAUGGUGGCGACCGGCGCACGGGUGAGUAACACGUAUGCAACCUGCCUUCAACAAGGGGAUAACCCGUUGAAAGACGGACUAAUACCCUAUAACACAGGGGUCCCGCAUGGGAAUAUUUGUUAAAGGACAACCGGUUGAAGAUGGGCAUGCGUUCCAUUAGCUAGUUGGCGGGGUAACGGCCCACCAAGGCAACGAUGGAUAGGGGAACUGAGAGGUUUAUCCCCCACACUGGUACUGAGACACGGACCAGACUCCUACGGGAGGCAGCAGUGAGGAAUAUUGGUCAAUGGACGCAAGUCUGAACCAGCCACGUCGCGUGAAGGAAGACGGCCCUACGGGUUGUAAACUUCUUUUAUACGGGAAUAAAGUGCCCCACGUGUGGGGUUUUGCAAGUACCGUAUGAUAAGGAUCGGCUAACUCCGUG
rnacentral:rRNA from 1 species